UUCCCAGCUCCUCCUCUCCCUCUCUCUCAUUCCCCUUCCCUCCCACGCGCCUCCUCUUCUCCCACCCACAUCGCCGCCGUCGCCACCCACCGCCUCGAACCACAUAGUCGGCAUCCAUCCACUGCUCCAGCGGUGGCCAGAUCAGCCGCAACAGAGCCCCCUCCAGCCCUCCCUCUCUCUCCCGCGUCUGCUUCACGUACGCCGCCUAAUUCCGGCGAGCCCCGGCGUCUCCGCCACCGCGCAACACAUCGCCUAGCUCGCCUCGCUCCGCUGCGUCCUCUCUUCCUGCCGGAUUCGCCGCUCACGGCCACCACCGCUCACCCGCGCCCCUGCCCCGUGGUUAGGGUUUCGGGUGUUGGCUCCAACACCGGCGGCUAUGUCCGCAGAGGACGAGUUGAGUGGGGAAACACCAACACCAUGGACGAGUUGGGUGAGGGGAUGAUCAUGGUGGUGGCCAGAUCCGCCAUGGCUGCAGCAACUUCCACCUCCUCGCUCGCGCCGGGACCCCGACACCAUGAGCUGCUCAUCAAGGGCCGCAUCUCCUUCAUCCUCAUGUCCCAGGAUAAGCAGCAGAAGAGGAGAGUUCAUCCCCUCCUGGCCCGACACCGGCGGCCAUGGGGCUGCGCCUCCUCUCCGCCUCUGCAGAGGAGAGGAGCGGGUACGAGCCUGCAGCUCCUGAUGUGCUUCAAUUCGAUUUGGAGUAGAGCAAUUGAUGUACUCCUACUGCUGCUGUAGAGGAUAGGAUGGACGAGAGCACAUCACACGAUUCGAUUCUGCUAUGCAUCCUAUGAGGAACUCAAAGAAGAAGGGCAUUCCGAACAAAGAAAUCAGCUGGUAGUUUUUUUAGUUGUGAGAAGCUUGACGAGUUGCACUGCGAAGAAUCGCGAUUGGCACAUAUCCAGUUAUGCUCAGAGUAAGGAUCAGAAGCAGCAUUCAACGAUGCAUUUUCUCCUGUGGUGUCAGUUAAGCAUCAAAAGCAAAUGUGCCAAGCGGUGGACCGUCGUCAUUACUUUCAUGCACCUCUGGGAAGAGGAGAUGACCUGAGGAAAUAUCAGCUGGGGCGUGGAUGUGCGGUUUAGGAAGCGGUUCCGCGCCGGUUGUACGGCGUUCAGGCGCAACCCCGGCGCCCACUGAGUACUGCCUUGGCUACAACCUCCCUCGGUGAGCUCCAUCUUCCUCCUGCUCCUCUGCUUCGGCUACUGUAUGGGGCAUGGCCGUGGCUAUGUUGAUGUGGUGCUCGUCUGGUUGAUGCUCCAUGCCCUACUCAUGCAUCAGUUCCUACCUGAGUUCUGUAGUUGUGGAUCCAUGCUAUUCUAGGGUUUGGAGGCUGCUGUUCAUGUUUACUUGCUAUCAUAGGAGCUCCCUGUGAUGCUCUGGUUUACAUUGGAUGCUCUGGUCCUAUAGCUAUGCUCCUGGAUUUGAUUUCGGAUGCGUUUUGGGCCGUUGGAUCUUGCCCGCUGGAUCAAAAAGAGACACUUAGUUGGCGCAGGGCUAUGAUGAUCGGUUAUGGCUGAUAUAAGCAUGCUCUCGAGCAACCGAGGCGCUUGUGGGUAUUAAGUUGGAUCCCCCCUCGUUUCUUUGAGCCGUUUUGAUCAUGUGCUUAUUUUAGUGGCUCUGUCCUUGGAUGGUCAUUUCUGAUGAGUGAUAACCAGGGCAGUUUCACCCUUGCGAGAACAGAUUGGUCUGGCGAUGGAGACACUAGGGGAAGGGUCAUGAUCGAGCAAAGGCGAAUCUGAGCCCAUUCAAAUGCAGUUCUGGUCUCAAGCACAGUGUGCUAUGUUGUUGCCGUUCUGUAUUUGUAUUUAGUGCCCCUUUGGUUUGCAGGAAUUUAAGAACACAUCCAGAAAUAAGAACUGAGGCAGCCCCCGAGCUCUCUCAGAGUUUAGCGACUCUCGGCUGUCCAAUCGAACUGCUUGAUGCGUUUCCGGCCGUUGGAUCGAGCGCGUGGAAGGGCUUGGCCGGCGGAUCGAAGCCGCGCUCCUGUAGCAAUGAAUAGUUACCGUCCCCCCGCGAUCCUGCUUACUCCGCGAUUUUGACCGGUUCUCGCUGGCUUGUGGGCCCCUUCAUGGGGUGGGUCGCGCCUGUCAGCGGCUGUGCCUGGGAGCGUGGUCUGUGCGGCCAGUCGGCACCCUCCAGCGGUCAAAUAUCUCGUGCCACCGCCGAUAAUUAUCGUGCCCUGCCGAGGGCAUUUUCGUUUUUUCACCUUUUACCCCUGUGCGUGGUGGCCCCUGGUUGGUCCGUGCGUCGAUGAGGCGAGGGAGGCCAUUCUUUCUAGGGCGAUGAUGACUAACCGUGACUGAAAUAAGUGUGCCUUUCAGCAAUCGAGGCACCUGUGGUAUCAAGUUGGAUCCUCCCUCUUGUCUCUAGAAUCCUUUUUGAUCAUGUGAUACUUAUUGUUCUGUCCUUGGAUGGUCAUUCUUGUUGAGUAAUAACCAGGGCAGCUCCAAUGUAUAAAAAGAUUGAUCUGGUGAUAAGAGAUGAUGGGGGUAGGUUAUAUGAUCGAGGAAAGGUGAAUCUGAGCCCACCAUGCAAUGAACCAUGAACUCUUUUUAUUUGUAUUUAAAGGUGUUGCUUAUUUGUGCUCCAGUGUUUAUAGCCGUCUUGUGUACAGAUUUCUUCUCUCUCAUACCUUUAUUGCAUAUAAGUUGUUCUUGAUCUUUUAUUGUUUGUUGUUGGUCCUUGAUUUAAUCUGGUUAAGAGUAAGUUGCACUUUGACUCACUCCCAGCAAGUUAUCGGUUGAGUGGCUUGUUUUAAUUCGUUGUGAUACUAUUACUCCUAUUUUUCCGCAAGUUAUCAGUUGCAGCUAUUUGUUCUUACAUGCUACAAAUAGUAAUGCUACAUGAUUUUUUUGAGAGUUUUUUUGGAGAUAAUGCUGGAUUGUUCACGUAAAGAGUGACUGAGGUAGUAUGUCCCAUGUUGCUGUCUGUAUCCAUAAACAAUUUUUCGACUGCUGUGAUUAAGUUGCUGGGUUAAUCCGAGCCAUUGAGCGGACAUUUCCUUUUGUUUUCUUUAGUUUGUUCUGAAGCUUUCCCCAAUUCUGUCUCUCACCAUUGCAUUUUUUGGAUCAUGCACCAGACUAAAUGUAGGUGAACUUUGAAGGAUGUGUGCUUUGUUAGUUUUGCAGCUUGUUUCCUUGCUAAGUAAGCGUUUGGGGUUAUUUUGUUUUGUUGCUACCUUCUGGACGACGGGCGGGCGGGCAGCGGCAGCGCCGAGGAUGGCAGCCAUGCCGUGGCUGCUGGACGACGGCAUCGUCCGCGGCAUGGCCAUCGGCGCGGUCUUCACCGACUACUCUGGGAAGAUAAGCUGCCUCGAGUUCCAACGCAAGGAGGAUCUCCUCGUCACCGAGGACGACUCCAUUCGCCUCUACAACACCACCAGCGCAACCAUGUGGAUGGGAAGUGUCUGGGAUCUACUGCAUUUUGAUUGCUGGCCUAUAGAUAUGAGUGACAGUGUUGGGUUCUGUUGUUUGGGGAUGCUGGUAGGAGUACAACAACAUUAGGCGAUUAGCUAUUUGUGAUGCAAAGGUGUCGGUGGUCGGGUUGAUGCGGACGCGGCUGCGAGCUCGACGUGAGAGCAGCGGGGCAGCGUCGAGCUCACCAGGUCCUCCUGCCCGCCUGCUAAACCUCCAGGUGAUUCGCCAAUGAUGAUCAGUCAACCACUUGCUUCGACGCUAAUGACUACCCAACUAUCUACCAAGAUGUUUCAAUGGUCUUCUGUUUGACCAUUCGCCUUUUGUAGGAAUGCCUUGCUCUGAAAAUUAUGUAGCAUCAAAACUGCUGGAUGCGCUCUUUAACCUUGAUUGCUUUGUCUAAAAAUAACGUACUUAAAGCAUUUUGUGUUGGCAUUUGGUUUGCUAAUUGGGUAGCUUUCUCAAUAUUGAUCUCACUACCAUUAUAGUUACUUAAGCUAUAUUAUGCCCCUGCUUUUAGUACUGAACUUUGUAACCUGAUUGGAUUUUGUCAUCGUAUGAUAUUACUCCUUGGUGUUGAACGUUAUGUCA